CUCCCUCAGGGCCCAAGUGGACUUUGACCUAACCACCCCCUCCCUGGGUGACCAUGGGACCUCUUUUCCCCAUCUGUGAAAGCUAAGAGCCAGUGGUAACCUCCAGGGCCAGGUCUAACACCUGUCGUGGCUUCCCAGCUCAAAAUUGCAGGAAGAUUGGGGACCGCCCGUCUAGGAGCGCGACGCGCAGGAAGGGAAUACCUGGACAUCCGGCUCCAUAGCCGCUACAAGAGGUGGUCCAGAUUCAAUCCACAAGCCUCGGCAGCCAAUGGCAGGCACAGACGGAGGAGAGUUCAACUCUUCCCCCGAAGUGGCACCCUGGGAUGACAGGGAGAACGUUUCCACCAUCACCUAAUAAGGGGCCAGGUGGGGUUCUUUCCCCCCUUUUAUUCUGGGGGGAGCGAUGCUAAAUAGGGAAGAGUUCACUUCAGCCUCAAUUAUCUAAGGACAAAGAGGGUGGAGCAGCUCCACCGGAAAUGAGUUAUUUACAUUUGGCUCGGUAUGUAUGCUGAGUCAUUCGGCAGACCCAUCCGAUACCUUCCCAACUAUUCCUUACUGGCCGAAUUAGUGCCUUCGCUUGCCAAAGGGCACUCCCGGUCAGAUACCUAGCAUAAUCGGAGGGGCUGGCUGCUAAACGAAGUCCCGCCCGCAUUUUCUGGUUCUGCAAAAUCAUUUUAGCGUUUGUUGGCCACAUCUUUUGCCUUGUUAUUGUUUUCUUUACUUACAAAAUUAAAUAAUAUGGAAAUAA